rnacentral:lncRNA from 1 species
UUUACAUAAGGCUUUGCACAUGAUGUGUAGAGAUGUUGAUGAUGCUGCUAAAUUUUCCCUCUCUUUUUAUUAUUAUGCUAUUAUUUUUAUCUUGAUAUUAUAUUUUUCAUUUUUUUAACACUUUAACUUAAUUUAAUUUUUAAUGCAAAUUAACAUCUAACUACUAACUUUUGUUAUUUCUUUUUAUUUUCAACUUUUAUUCAUCUUUUGAUUGAUUAGUUGAUUAAUUUUCAU